rnacentral:lncRNA from 1 species
UAUGGGUCACAUUGUGUGUGGGGCACAUCUCUGGGGCACAUCUCUGGGGCACAUGUGUGGGGCACAUGUGUGGGGCACAUCUAUGGGGCACAUCAUCUGUGGGGCACAUGUGUGGGGCACAUCUAUGGGGCACAUGUGUGGGGCACAUGUGUGGGGCACAUGUGUGGGGUGUAUCUAUGGGGCACAUGUGUGGGGCACAUGUGUGGGGCACAUCAUGUGUGGGGCACAUCAUGUGUGGGGCACACGUGUGGGGCACAUCAUCUCUGGGGCACAUCAUCUCUGGGGCACAUGUGUGGGGCACAUGUGUGGGGUGUAUCUAUGGGGCACAUGUGUGGGGCACAUGUGUGGGGCACAUCCAUGGGGCACAUCAUCUCUGGGGCACAUCUAUGGGGCACAUCAUCUCUGGGGCACAUCUCUGGGGCACAUGUGUGGGGCACAUCUAUGGGGCACAUGUGUGGGGCACAUCAUCUAUGGGGCACAUGUGUGGGGCACACGUGUGGGGCACAUGUGUGGGGCACAUCCAUGGGGCACAUCUUCUAUGGGGCACAUGUGUGGGGCACAUCUCUGGGGCACGUGUGUGGGGCACAUGUGUGGGGCACAUCUAUGGGACACAUCUCUGGGGCACAUCAUCUCUGGGGCACAUGUGUGGGGCACAUCAUCUGUGGGGCACACGUGUGGGGCACAUCUCUGGGGCACAUCUAUGGGGCACAUCUAUGGGGCACAUCUGUGGGGCACAUCAUCUGUGGGGCACAUCUAUGGGGCACAUCUCUGGGGCACAUGUGUGGGGCACAUCUCUGGGGCACAUGUGUGGGGCACAGGUGUGGGGCACAUCAUCUCUGGGGCACAUCUUCUCUGGGGCACAUGUGUGGGGCACAUGUGUGGGCUGUAUCUAUGGGGCACAUGUGUGGGGUGUAUCUAUGGGGCACAUGUGUGGGGUGUAUCUAUGGGGCACAUGUGUGGGGCACAUGUGUGGGGCACAUGUGUGGGGCACACAUCUCUGGGGCACAUGUGUGGGGCACAUCUCUGGGGCACAUGUGUGGGGCACAUCUAUGGGGCACAUGUGUGGGGCACAGGUGUGGGGCACAUCUAUGGGGCACGUGUGGGGCACAUCAUCUCUGGGGCACAUGUGUGGGGCACAUGUGUGGGGUGUAUCUAUGGGGCACAUCACAUCAUCUGUGGGGCACAUCAUCUAUGGGGCACAUCUAUGGGGCACAUUGUGUGUGGGGCACAUCUAUGGGGCACAUCAUCUGUGGGGCACAUCUAUGGGAAACAUCUAUGGGGCA